UUAAAUUGAAGAGUUUGAUCAUGGCUCAGAUUGAACGCUGGCGGCAGGCCUAACACAUGCAAGUCGAACGGUAACAGGAAGCAGCUUGCUGCUUCGCUGACGAGUGGCGGACGGGUGAGUAAUGUCUGGGAAACUGCCUGAUGGAGGGGGAUAACUACUGGAAACGGUGGCUAAUACCGCAUAACGUCGCAAGACCAAAGAGGGGGACCUUCGGGCCUCUUGCCAUCAGAUGUGCCCAGAUGGGAUUAGCUUGUUGGUGAGGUAACGGCUCACCAAGGCGACGAUCCCUAGCUGGUCUGAGAGGAUGACCAGCCACACUGGAACUGAGACACGGUCCAGACUCCUACGGGAGGCAGCAGUGGGGAAUAUUGCACAAUGGGCGCAAGCCUGAUGCAGCCAUGCCGCGUGUAUGAAGAAGGCCUUCGGGUUGUAAAGUACUUUCAGCGGGGAGGAAGGUGUUGUGGUUAAUAACCGCAGCAAUUGACGUUACCCGCAGAAGAAGCACCGGCUAACUCCGUGCCAGCAGCCGCGGUAAUACGGAGGGUGCAAGCGUUAAUCGGAAUUACUGGGCGUAAAGCGCACGCAGGCGGUCUGUCAAGUCGGAUGUGAAAUCCCCGGGCUCAACCUGGGAACUGCAUUCGAAACUGGCAGGCUUGAGUCUUGUAGAGGGGGUAGAAUUCCAGGUGUAGCGGUGAAAUGCGUAGAGAUCUGGAGGAAUACCGGUGGCGAAGGCGGCCCCCUGGACAAAGACUGACGCUCAGGUGCGAAAGCGUGGGGAGCAAACAGGAUUAGAUACCCUGGUAGUCCACGCCGUAAACGAUGUCUACUUGGAGGUUGUGCCCUUGAGGCGUGGCUUCCGGAGCUAACGCGUUAAGUAGACCGCCUGGGGAGUACGGCCGCAAGGUUAAAACUCAAAUGAAUUGACGGGGGCCCGCACAAGCGGUGGAGCAUGUGGUUUAAUUCGAUGCAACGCGAAGAACCUUACCUGGUCUUGACAUCCACGGAAGAAUUCAGAGAUGGAUUUGUGCCUUCGGGAACCGUGAGACAGGUGCUGCAUGGCUGUCGUCAGCUCGUGUUGUGAAAUGUUGGGUUAAGUCCCGCAACGAGCGCAACCCUUAUCCUUUGUUGCCAGCGGUCCGGCCGGGAACUCAAAGGAGACUGCCAGUGAUAAACUGGAGGAAGGUGGGGAUGACGUCAAGUCAUCAUGGCCCUUACGACCAGGGCUACACACGUGCUACAAUGGCGCAUACAAAGAGAAGCGACCUCGCGAGAGCAAGCGGACCUCAUAAAGUGCGUCGUAGUCCGGAUUGGAGUCUGCAACUCGACUCCAUGAAGUCGGAAUCGCUAGUAAUCGUGGAUCAGAAUGCCACGGUGAAUACGUUCCCGGGCCUUGUACACACCGCCCGUCACACCAUGGGAGUGGGUUGCAAAAGAAGUAGGUAGCUUAACCUUCGGGAGGGCGCUUACCACUUUGUGAUUCAUGACUGGGGUGAAGUCGUAACAAGGUAACCGUAGGGGAACCUGCGGUUGGAUCACCUCCUUACCUUAAAGAAGC
rnacentral:rRNA from 1 species